rnacentral:rRNA from 1 species
CGUAGUCGAUGGGAAACAGGUUAAUAUUCCUGUACUUGGUGUUACUGCGAAGGGGGGACGGAGAAGGCUAUGUUGGCCGGGCGACGGUUGUCCCGGUUUAAGCGUGUAGGCUGGUUUUCCAGGCAAAUCCGGAAAACCAAGGCUGAGGCGUGAUGACGAGGCACUACGGUGCUGAAGCGACAAAUGCCCUGCUUCCAGGAAAAGCCUCUAAGCAUCAGGUAACAUCAAAUCGUACCCCAAACCGACACAGGUGGUCAGGUAGAGAAUACCAAGGCGCUUGAGAGAACUCGGGUGAAGGAACUAGGCAAAAUGGUGCCGUAACUUCGGGAGAAGGCACGCUGAUAUGUAGGUGAAGCGACUUGCUCGUGGAGCUGAAAUCAGUCGAAGAUACCAGCUGGCUGCAACUGUUUAUUAAAAACACAGCACUGUGCAAACACGAAAGUGGACGUAUACGGUGUGACGCCUGCCCGGUGCCGGAAGGUUAAUUGAUGGGGUUAGCGGCAACGCGAAGCUCUUGAUCGAAGCCCCGGUAAACGGCGGCCGUAACUAUAACGGUCCUAAGGUAGCGAAAUUCCUUGUCGGGUAAGUUCCGACCUGCACGAAUGGCGUAAUGAUGGCCAGGCUGUCUCCACCCGAGACUCAGUGAAAUUGAACUCGCUGUGAAGAUGCAGUGUACCCGCGGCAAGACGGAAAGACCCCGUGAACCUUUACUAUAGCUUGACACUGAACAUUGAGCCUUGAUGUGUAGGAUAGGUGGGAGGCUUUGAAGUGUGGACGCCAGUCUGCAUGGAGCCGACCUUGAAAUACCACCCUUUAAUGUUUGAUGUUCUAACGUUGGCCCCUAAUCGGGGUUGCGGACAGUGUCUGGUGGGUAGUUUGACUGGGGCGGUCUCCUCCUAAAGAGUAACGGAGGAGCACGAAGGUUGGCUAAUCCUGGUCGGACAUCAGGAGGUUAGUGCAAUGGCAUAAGCCAGCUUGACUGCGAGCGUGACGGCGCGAGCAGGUGCGAAAGCAGGUCAUAGUGAUCCGGUGGUUCUGAAUGGAAGGGCCAUCGCUCAACGGAUAAAAGGUACUCCGGGGAUAACAGGCUGAUACCGCCCAAGAGUUCAUAUCGACGGCGGUGUUUGGCACCUCGAUGUCGGCUCAUCACAUCCUGGGGCUGAAGUAGGUCCCAAGGGUAUGGCUGUUCGCCAUUUAAAGUGGUACGCGAGCUGGGUUUAGAACGUCGUGAGACAGUUCGGUCCCUAUCUGCCGUGGGCGCUGGAGAACUGAGGGGGGCUGCUCCUAGUACGAGAGGACCGGAGUGGACGCAUCACUGGUGUUCGGGUUGUCAUGCCAAUGGCACUGCCCGGUAGCUAAAUGCGGAAGAGAUAAGUGCUGAAAGCAUCUAAGCACGAAACUUGCCCCGAGAUGAGUUCUCCCUGAGACUUAGAGUCUCCUGAAGGAACGUUGAAGACGACGACGUUGAUAGGCCGGGUGUGUAAGUGCAGCGAUGCGUUGAGCUAACCGGUACUAAUGAACCGUGAGGCUUAACCUUACAACGCCGAAG